UAUUUAUGUUUGAAUUAUCUGGACAAAGUCGUGUUUUAACAGACGAUCAAAUUUGAGAUUUAAGAGUGCCGGGUUCGAUUUAAACCGAUUUAUGAAAAAAAUAACUUAAUCCUUGACGUUGUAUUUUUAAACUCGAGCGUAAUUUAUGCGGAAACGCCCCACUAAAGUGUAGGUAUACAUCCGGUUUACUUCUUGGAAUUUACAGGCCUGUAUUACCCUUGCGAUUUCUGCCUUUCACAGCAAUGCAGAGGAUGGCCUUUGCCAAAGGUUUAUUUUUCGCAGCAGUUCGUCCACAGUUGUUUUAUUCUGUUCGUCUUCGGUCUCUCCAACAUCGCUAUCACUGUCGUCGCUCUGCUCAUCGUUUUCAUCUUCACUGGGUUCAAAGUAGGUCGCUGGAGUAAAUACAGCGUUAUUUGCAGUCGUACCGAGAUCUUGAACACUCGACAGCAACGUUGCUUCACAAACAGGGCAAUUGCUAAUAUUUGGCAGAAGGCAUUCGAUAUGAAAUGAAUGGCCACAUCCGCGGAAAACGUUCCAGAGAGGGUUAACUCUUUCGCAGCUGAUCAAAUCGCACUUUCUAUGACAGGGAAUAUAUAAAGUGUCAAUUCGCUUUCUGCUGUAAUUUGGCUUUCUGGGUGGAACAAAUGCAGAUUGGAAGAAAUGGAGUUCAUGCUUGCAAGCAUCAAUUUCUUUAGCUUUGCGUGAAAUUUCAUCAGCUGUAUCAGUUUCUUUGGUUUGUUUUCUCAAGACUGAGUGAAAGUUUUCCACUGGAUACUCAUCGAAUGCAGAACAUCGAGAGAAUAAGAUCCCUGAUCAAUGUCCAUCCGCCAUAAAUGAUUUCAAGCAACAGAGAUGUACGCCAUGGUUUUGGUUUCUUAGCCAGCUUUGCUUUUUUCCCAAAGAUGAAAGCAUAAAGGAUGUGCAACAAUUCCAAGAUUCCGUAGAGAUUCAAGCCCUUGUUUGCUGAUUCCAAACUGCUGCAGUGUCCUGGAUAGUGUGACUUGAAAUGAGUUGCAUUUUUGUGAUUACAUUGGAUCCAAUGUUAUGGCUUCUUGUAUGGAUGAAUAUAAUUUAUCAGCACCAACAUCUUUGCACAUAAUCUCAAACACAUCAGGAUCCAUUUCAGGCUCUGCCAAUUUUGUUAUGACAGAUUCUUGCCUGUUCAUCUCGUUUUUAGCAGAAGAUUCCAAUACCACAAGCUAAAUUACAAGUGUGCUUAAUUGACUUUUUUUUCUCUGAGGGCCAUACUAAUGGCCAUAAGGUAAUUAUAUGGUUUCAGCUCUUCACCUACACACCCCACCCACUUAUUUCUAAAAUGUAAAAGUAUGGGCAUUUACAAUGUGAGGGCCCAGAGUAUGUUGUCAUUCUGUAAUAACGGAUUUUCUUUGAUAAUUACAGCAAGUUCACUGAUCAGUUUAAUGCUUUUUGUAGGUCAUACCUGGCUUUUCACGUUGUUUUUCAACUCGUCGGCUUGUUUUUUAGGAAGCAAUCGCGUAAAUUUCCUUUUCGUGAAGCAUUUGUGCAGGCAUGUUGCACAUAGAUUCUGGAUUCCAUAAGACGAUUUUUCGCCAAGUUCUUCCUUAACAUAUUGCUCAAAAACUACUGAAAUUACAAGCAGGCCACGAUUUCUUAGAUUUAAAACCUUUUCUCCUUCACGCCCCGACCAUUUUUUAUGAAACGGAUUGUUGCAUUGCUUUUUAAAUUUUGGCAUUUUGACAGACUUUAUUCACUUAACAAUUUGUAGUAUCCUUUUUGCAUACGCUGAGAAAAAAGAAACAUUUUCGGAAAAAGCGCGCGAUUUUUCCCCGCUGUAUACGAUAUAAUAUUCAUAAUAUUUUAAAAAGUAAGCAAAGCAAUAUUUGGUAGUUAUAAUGUAAAUAUACACUCUUUGUCAUAUAUUAUUUAGUUAACGUCUUGGUAACCAUUAUUUUUUAGAGAAAUCAGUUUGUAAACAAUGCAAUUUCUGUAGAGUCUAGAGACAGGACUGGUGAUCUACACUGGUCAUGCCGUGACAAUUCAAACAUAAAUAAUUUUCGCUCCAGGACGAUUCUGGAAAAAUCCGACGACAAAAUUGUAGAAAAGGAAUUGCUUUAUCAGAUUCUAGUGUUUUAAGAUUGAAAAACUAAAUAUUGACUGCUGCAGAAGGCUUAGAACAGGGUGUUAUGAUUUCACUCCUUCUGUUUACAUUUUGCAAAUUCCACGUAAUCUGAUUGGUCUAGAGACCAAAAUGUCAACAAACGCCCUGAUUGGUCAACA
rnacentral:lncRNA from 1 species